UGUGACGUAGUAGAAGUGUAAUAUGUUUAAUUUCCAAUUAAAAGAUCUCCUUAAUUUAUGGUAGUGUCAUAA
rnacentral:tRNA from 1 species